rnacentral:rRNA from 1 species
UUUUUUUUUUUUUCUCUUUUUUUCUCCCCCAUAUAACACAUCAAUAAGCGGAGGAAAAGAAACUACCCAGGGGUCCCCUAGUAACUGCGAGUGAAGCGGGAAAAGCUCAAAUUUAAAAUCUGGCGGUCUUUGGCCGUCCGAGUUGUAAUCUGGAGAAGUGCUUUCCGCGCUGGACCGUGUAUAAGUCUCUUGGAACAGAGCGUCAUAGAGGGUGAGAAUCCCGUCUUUGACACGGACUACCAGUGCUUUGUGAUGCGCUUUCAAAGAGUCGAGUUGUUUGGGAAUGCAGCUCAAAAUGGGUGGUGAAUUCCAUCUAAAGCUAAAUAUUGGCGAGAGACCGAUAGCGAACAAGUACCGUGAGGGAAAGAUGAAAAGCACUUUGGAAAGAGAGUUAAACAGUACGUGAAAUUGCUGAAAGGGAAACGCUUGAAGUCAGUCGCGUUGUCUGGGACUCAGCCUUGCUUUCGCUUGGUGCAUUUUCCAGAUGACGGGUCAGCAUUGAUUUUGACCGUCGGAAAAGGGCUGGAGUAAUGUGGCACCUUCGGGUGUGUUAUAGACUCUAGUCGCAUACGGCGGUUGGGAUUGAGGAACGCAGCGCGCCGUAAGGCAGGGGUUCGCCCACUUUCGCGCUUAGGAUGCUGGCAUAAUGGCUUUAAACGACCCGUCUUGAAACACGGACCAAGGAGUCUAACGUACCUGCGAGUGUUUGGGUGGAAAACCCGAGCGCGUAAUGAAAGUGAAAGUUGGGACCUCUGUCGUGGAGGGCACCGACGCCCGGACCUGACGUUUUCUGACGGAUCCGCGGUAGAGCAUGUAUGUUGGGACCCGAAAGAUGGUGAACUAUGCCUGAAUAGGGUGAAGCCAGAGGAAACUCUGGUGGAGGCUCGUAGCGAUUCUGACGUGCAAAUCGAUCGUCAAAUUUGGGUAUAGGGGCGAAAAGACUUAUUCAACCAUCUAGUAGCUGGUCUGCAUUUUCCCCCCCCAGAAAAAGAAAAAAAAAAAAAAACCCCCCCAAAAGGGGGAGAUAAAACCCUUUGCCCCCCUUCCCC